CAAGUCGAACGGCAGCACGGGGGCAACCCUGGUGGCGAGUGGCGAACGGGUGAGUAAUACAUCGGAACGUGUCCUGUAGUGGGGGAUAGCCCGGCGAAAGCCGGAUUAAUACCGCAUACGAUCUACGGAAGAAAGCGGGGAUCUUCGGACCUCGCGCUGCAGGGGCGGCCGAUGGCAGAGUAGCUAGUUGGUGGGGUAAAGGCCUACCAAGGCGACGAUCUGUAGCUGGUCUGAGAGGACGACCAGCCACACUGGGACUGAGACACGGCCCAGACUCCUACGGGAGGCAGCAGUGGGGAAUUUUGGACAAUGGGGGCAACCCUGAUCCAGCAAUGCCGCGUGUGUGAAGAAGGCCUUCGGGUUGUAAAGCACUUUUGUCCGGAAAGAAAACCAUCGCCCUAAUAUGGUGGUGGGAUGACGGUACCGGAAGAAUAAGCACCGGCUAACUACGUGCCAGCAGCCGCGGUAAUACGUAGGGUGCGAGCGUUAAUCGGAAUUACUGGGCGUAAAGCGUGCGCAGGCGGUCUGUUAAGACCGAUGUGAAAUCCCCGGGCUUAACCUGGGAACUGCAUUGGUGACUGGCAGGCUUUGAGUGUGGUAGAGGGAGGUAGAAUUCCACGUGUAGCAGUGAAAUGCGUAGAGAUGUGGAGGAAUACCGAUGGCGAAGGCAGCCUCCUGGGCCAACACUGACGCUCAUGCACGAAAGCGUGGGGAGCAAAGAGGAUUAGAUACCCUGGUAGUCCACGCCCUAAACGAUGUCAACUAGUUGUUGGGGAUUCAUUUCCUUAGCAACGUAGCU
rnacentral:rRNA from 1 species